rnacentral:rRNA from 1 species
AUUGAACGCUGGCGGCAUGCUUUACACAUGCAAGUCGAACGGUAACAGGUUAAGCUGACGAGUGGCGAACGGGUGAGUAAUGCAUCGGAACGUGCCCGAUCGUGGGGGAUAACGCAGCGAAAGCUGCGCUAAUACCGCAUACGAUCUGAGGAUGAAAGCGGGGGACCGUAAGGCCUCGCGCGAUCGGAGCGGCCGAUGUCAGAUUAGGUAGUUGGUGGGGUAAAGGCCCACCAAGCCGACGAUCUGUAGCUGGUCUGAGAGGACGACCAGCCACACUGGGACUGAGACACGGCCCAGACUCCUACGGGAGGCAGCAGUGGGGAAUUUUGGACAAUGGGCGAAAGCCUGAUCCAGCAAUGCCGCGUGCAGGAAGAAGGCCUUCGGGUUGUAAACUGCUUUUGUACGGAGCGAAAAGGUCCUUUCUAAUACAAGGGGCUCAUGACGGUACCGUAAGAAUAAGCACCGGCUAACUACGUGCCAGCCGCCGCAGUAACAC